GGUUGCUCUACUCCCUGUUCUGUUUUGUGUCUCUCUAUCUGACGACUCUUCCAAAAAUCCUGCUCCAGUUCUUGUCCCUCCAGGACUUGAUACCAGUUCCGCACCCUUAAGGGUUCUUGCAUAGGUGGUGAAUGUCUGUCUCUUUCUUUUCUAUAUUCUCGUCGCUCUCUAUUUUGUGUAACUUCUUGAUUGUAGGGUCUAUGUUCUUCCCUCUC